rnacentral:rRNA from 1 species
AUUGAACGCUGGCGGCAGGCCUAACACAUGCAAGUCGAACGAGUGGCGGACGGGUGAGUAAUGUCUGGGAAACUGCCUGAUGGAGGGGGAUAACUACUGGAAACGGUAGCUAAUACCGCAUACCAUCAGAUGUGCCCAGAUGGGGUUAGCUAGGUGGUGGGGUAACGGCUCACCAAGGCGACGACCCCUAGCUGGUCUGAGAGGAUGACCAGCCAAAUGGGAACUGAGACGGGGUCCAGACUCCCACGGGGGGCAGCAGGGGGGAAUAUUGCAAAAGGGGGGAAAGCCGGAGGCAGCCAUGCCGCGUGUAUGAAGAAGGCCUGCGGGUUGUAAAGUACUUUAAGGGGGGAGGCGUUACCCGCAGAAGAAGCACCGGCUAACUCCGUGCAGCAGCCGCGGUAAUAC